rnacentral:lncRNA from 1 species
AAAAAAAUAGAAUUAUGAAAUAUUUAUCUAAGUGAAAUAUUUUGUAAACUUAUUCUUUAAGUUUUGUUAAAAGAUGACUGGUUUAGUUAAUUUCUUAAAGCGAAAUGGACUUCUUUCGAGGAUUUGAAUUAUUGGUCUUCAGAUUAACGACAAAUAAUGACAGAUAAACAAAUAUGGCAUAGUAAAGUAAAGAGAGAAAUUUUGGGCCCAAGUCUGGUUUUCUGUUCGUCUGGGCCAGCACUUGGGCCUAAUUUCAUUUUGGCCCGAUUUUUGCCACCUUUGUACCUGUCUUAAUUUCUAACAAGAAUAUUGAUAAAUAAAAUGACGAGGGCUUAGGCCCAAAAUAACAAAAUACAUCUCUUUGGAAUUAAGAGUGGACCCUUGGCUCAAUCUUUCCAAUUUUUCAAUCUGCCGCGUAUCUUUCGAUUUUGGGACCUGUUCGUCGAUUUUAAAGGCUGGUAGACUCGGAUAAAAUAAAAUUGGGCCUCCAUGGCCCAAUAGAAAAAUGCAAGGAUGGAGUCCGCGAGGACUUGGACAGAUUUCACAUGCGACAAAACAAAUAAAAUACAUAAGUAACACUCACGAUAAUUUGAUAGCAGGAACGACACAAUACGAUAGUGGUAUAAUAUGACAAGCUACUGCUAACAUCAACUUCUUUGUCACAAAACUCAUAUAUUCCAACUAACACCAAAUGAAAUAUUCCAAUUUCACAUCAUGGAUAAGCAGAAACUGGGACAAUAUAAUAAUUCCAACAAAGAAUACAAUGCCAUGCCAGGGAAUAAAUGUUGCUACAACGUGUGAGAAAGAUAGAAAAAAAAGAAUACAUAAAAUAAAUAAAUAAAUAAAUAAAAUAAAAAUAUAAUGAUAAUAAAAACAACUAAAAUCCUAACUAGCACGGGAAACAAACAAACAUUAAUUGGCUAUACUUAAACAAUAGCAAAUGCACAAGGAGGAACUGUAUUUGAACUAAAUUUCUUAUUUUUAGGAUAAAAAUAAAAAAUAAAAAUUGGUACAUUAAUUCAAAUUAAGCGGAUACACAUGAAACUAAGGGACUUGACGAGAAAAUUUAAAAAAGGAAAGAAAAUAAACAUGUUAUGUCACAUAAACCUAUCAAGCAGGACUAGUGGUUUUACAUUUAAGACGAAACCGUGUUAAACCAAAACAAUCUCAAAUCGAUCAGGGGUCAAACAAAGCUAUGCUAACCAUGCUAUUCAUUAAAAUUGAAGACUUGUAUCAUCAAAUAGCACCCAAGAGCAUCAAACGGAGGUAUAAUGGCCGAGUUAGAGGUGACAUAAAGCGAUAUUUUAAGAGUACACUCGGACCAAAACGAAAUUAUGUUUUCAUGACACUAUAGUAAAUCCCAAAUUGCGGAGAUGCUUUCUAUCACAUAAUAGUUACAACUAUGAAGGGUGACUAGGGCAAUAACUAAAAUUUCCAGAUAUUAAACCAUUUAAAUGACACUAAAGUAAGUCGAGCCAUGCCUUAUAAACAGAGAAGGAUAAACAAAUACUCUCAGCUACAAUCUAGAACUCAAAAAUAUCGAGUAACAAGUGAACAAGGGGACGAGUAAAAGAAAUUUCUUUCAAAAAAAAAAGCUAGACACGGACAAAUUUAUAAACAUGCAUUUAAAGAACAUAACUUCAACAAAAAAUAAUAAAAAAUCAACUCAUAUUCAUAAGAAACAAAAGGGUACAGCAGCCUAAAGCCUUUCGAUGCUUUCUAAACACAUAAUGAAGGCACGAAUGCGACUUCAUCAAAAAAUAAAUAAAUAUCAUAGCCAUCCAGUGAAACAAACCAAGACUUGAGGCGAGCAUAAUGGUCAUGAAUUCAAUAAAAAUGUAAACACAGAGACAUUUAACAACAGGCACUAAAUCAUCUUGAAACACGGAACCUUCACAACCAUUUCAGGAAAGGCACAACGAAUACUAACGACAACAUUUAGCUUUACAUGCUCCGAAUAAAAAUAAAUUGGAAAACUUAUACAGAACACAACUCAAGUCGAAAUCUCUACUGAAACUUAAUAGUAAAAGAGUUGGGAGUCAUAUACCUGUUGAGGAGCAGCGACCGAGACAACGACGAACUAAAGCGAUAAUCUUCACCACAAAAAUAGAGCUCGAACGAUGAUCCAAAGAGUCUAGACAGAAAACCGGACCCAAAACCGAAACUAUUGUCUCUCUAUUUUCAAAGUAUAUUGUGUAUUCCAACUGUUUCUACUCGAACUCUCCCCUGUAUUUGCUAAAAAAAAAUCCACUUUUCUCUCUGCCUUAGUUCAAAUUUCAACUCAAGACCCCAAAAAAAAAAAAUCCCUUUACCAAUGAAUGCAAAAGACGUUAUAUAGGGGAAAUUAGGGUAGAUUUUGGGGGGGGAAAUCCGGAUGGAAAUCUCCAUUCGAAAUUCAAAAAUCAAAAUCCUUUCACCCUUUUGGUUAAACACCUUUUCCUUGAGAUUUUGACUCAUUCCGAAAGGGGAAAGGGGGACGGUGUGCGUGCUUGCUUUUACUGCCCUAUUGGUACGAAUUUGAAAGGGACAUGAAGAAGAAGACAACACGUUGUCCGUGUAUUGACGCCGUGAGCUUGCUAAAACAGCGUCG